GUGCCAGCAGCCGCGGUAAUACGGAGAGUGCAAGCGUUAAUCGGAAUUACUGGGCGUAAACCGCGCGUAGGCGGAAUGGUAAGCGAGUUGUGAAAGCCCCGGGCUCAACCUGGGAAUGGCAAUUCGAACUGCCAGGCUAGAAUGCAGCAGAGGGCAGUGGAAUUCCAGGUGUAGCGGUGAAAUGCGAAGAUAUCUGGAGGAACACCAGUGGCGAAGGCGACUGCCUGGGCUGACAUUGUCGCUGAGGUGCGAAAGCGUGGGUAGCAAACAG
rnacentral:rRNA from 1 species